rnacentral:misc_RNA from 1 species
ACUUGGGUGAGAGUGGUC